rnacentral:lncRNA from 1 species
UCCGCAGAUGUAGUUUACGGGUUCGGGCUGCGGAUCCAUAGUGGAUUGAACGGAAAUGUGGAUUUAGGUUUUGAAGUCGUCGCGCGCUGAGGCAGAGAAUGAGAGGUGGUGGGGUUCCGAUCUGAGAAGAGAGUCGAGAGAGAGAGACUCGAGGGAGAUGGCAAGGCACGGCGGCUUUGCCGCUACCUUUCAGCCACGGUGAGAGAGAGAUGGACGGAGGCGGUGAUUCUCUAUUUUGAACCGAGAGAAGGGAGAACCGAGAGGUAAUGGUUGCCGCCGCUUGCUCCGGCGAGCUCCAGCGGCCGUGAGUUCGAGCAGUCGAGAGAGACAGUCGAGAGUUGAGGGAGAGUGAGAGAAACUGAUGUGGAGGUGUGUAUGCGUGUGUGUGCGGCUGAUAGGGGGGAGAAG